CAGCAGCCGCGGGAAUACGUAGGGCGCAAGCGUUGUCCGGAAUUAUUGGGCGUAAAGAGCUCGUAGGCGGUCUGUCGCGUCUGGUGUGAAAUCCCGAGGCUCAACCUCGGGCUUGCAUCGGGUACGGGCAGACUAGAGUGCGGUAGGGGAGACUGGAAUUCCUGGUGUAGCGGUGGAAUGCGCAGAUAUCAGGAGGAACACCGAUGGCGAAGGCAGGUCUCUGGGCCGCAACUGACGCUGAGAGACGAAAGCUAGGGGAGCAAAUGGGAUUAGAUACCCCUGAAGUCCCUGUCUCUUAUAC
rnacentral:rRNA from 1 species